UACAGAGGUCCCAAGCGUUGUUCGGAUUCACUGGGCGUAAAGGGUGCGUAGGUGGCGAGGUAAGUCGGAUGUGAAAGCUCGGAGCUCAACUCCGAAAUGGCAUUGGAAACUACCUUGCUCGAGGGUCGGAGGGGGGACUGGAAUACUUGGUGUAGCAGUGAAAUGCGUAGAUAUCAAGUGGAACACCAGUGGCGAAGGCGAGUCCCUGGACGACUCCUGACACUGAGACACGAAAGCGUGGGUAGCAAACAGG
rnacentral:rRNA from 1 species